UUUUGAUGAUCUGAGGCGAAGCCAGGUCAAUAAAUACACGAAAACGAGACCUUUAAUUUUUAUCACGAGUUAUGUGAUGUUGCUUGAUAUA